CGUGACUGCGUCGUCGAGUCGCUGCCAUCGCCAUGUUGCUCCGUCCUUUACCCGCCUGUAUCGGUGAUCGGUGGACGGACGCUCUGUGCUUCUUGGUACUUCUUUCGUGUUCCUCGUGUCGAAGUUGUGCGUAGUACUGUGCGGAUGCAACGUCGAGUAUGUCGAAUGUAGUAGGCGGGAGUGCGUUGCGUUAGCAACGACAUCAACCCGUCGAUCAAUCGCAUUGUUCGUUCCGCGGCUGUUUGUUUCGGUCUCAAUUCGUAUGUUUAUCAGCGUACGUGAGCGUCACGGACGCGACCGGAUAAUAAUCGUCCGAAGACGUGCGUGUGCUUCGCGUUAGCAACGAUUGCGGCCAUCGGACCAAAAAUUCAUAUCUAGAGUAAAGAGCGAGGGGUGAGGUGUCGCAUGAAGGUGUCCGCGCGUCUCUAUCGUUCGAGAGUUGAUUGUCGGCCAUAGUUGGCCAUAGUCGGCUAACGUCAUUGCCGUCGAGUGUUAAUGAGUGACGCGGAUCACAGCUCCGCUUGCCGAUUCGCGUUAAUUUUCCGUUGCCGCGACGUAAUAAAUUGCGCACCACGCACAUCAAAUUACCGCCGUAUAUACUCAUUGGACGAGUGUACCGGUAACUCGUUGGAUCGCGAAUUUUAUCCAAGCGAAUCGUCGCGUGAACGAUAGCGUCAGUAAACCGUUCAGUCCAUCGCAUCUUUCAGUCUGUGGAUGUUUGUUUUCAGUUUCAAUUCGUAUGUUUAUUAGCGCAAGUUAGAACGCGAACAUAAUCGUCCGGAGACACGCGUGUGUUCAGGAUGUUGUGUGUCAGCAACGGCUGCGGCGAAGCGUUGCUCUCGAAAGGUUAUGUUACGCAACGCGACACGGCGUGGAGAUAACCGCGCGUACUUCUGCGCUCGAGGUUUGUCGUAUACCGCAUUAACUUCCUCGACGACUCGGCGUGGAGGGUGACGCGAAUAUAUAAGGCGUGUUGUUUCACGUUAACUUCCCUUUGCAAUGUAAUGAACGGGACGCUGCGCGUUGUGCACCGGAAAGAGUAUGCCGUUUAGGAUGUCGCACGAUUGUCGAGCACCGUGAACGAGAGUACCAUUCAGGAUGUCGCGUGAUUGUCGUAUCGAGGUUAGGUGAUUAUUGCUGACCAUAUCAUAAGUGACAUAAGUAGUAGUGUUUUCGUAAGUGAGUGCUGGUGCCAUAAAAAACAACAAGCUGGAGAGGAGGAGGAGGCCUGGGAGGCAACGGGCAACGGCAGAGCAACCACGAGGUCAACGUUGAAAACUCUGCUGCUGCGCAUCAUGUGCCUGUGAUUGCAAGAUCGAAAGGGAAUCGACACUAGCUGGACACUAACACAUAGUAAGGAGACGAGAAGACGACAAGCAGUUUGAAGACAGAAAGCGGCAAUAAAUUCAGCGAAGUUAACAAGUCUGUCAGACCUCACUUAGCCGCGGUGUAUUUUGGUUAUAUCAGCCGGAAUAACGCGGCAGCAUGGUCCAUCUGGCAAGCCUUAAUUACCAUUUAUAUUCCGCAUUUGCGCAGUUCGUGGACGAUGUAAAAUUACAACGGUCCGGGGAAUCUCGGCUUUCAUUAAAAGAUAAUUAAAUCAGCAGCGAAUCGAUCCCCCGCUUUAUCUUGCUGUCUCCUGUUCGCGGAACUUGCUGAAUUAUGCAGCGAAGCGAGACGAGAAUGUCGACUUUAAAAUUGUAUCGCGAAACAGUCCAGAGUUUCAGAAGAAUGGUCCCAGGUAUUCUUUCUCACACUGCCCUUUCGAGAUGAGCAGAUGGCAAAGAAG